AGGAGGAGUACGCAGCUGC
rnacentral:misc_RNA from 1 species